CCUACGGGUGGCAGCAGUGAGGAAUAUUGGUCAAUGGACGAGAGUCUGAACCAGCCAAGUAGCGUGAAGGAUGACUGCCCUCGGGUUGGUAAACUCCUUUUAUAAGGAGAUAAGAUGACGCACGUGUGCCUUUUUGUAUUUACUUUAUGAAUAAGGAUCGGCUAAAUCCGUGCCAGCAGACGCGCUAAUACGGUGGAUCGGAGCCUUAUCCGGAUUUAUUUGGUUUAACGGUAGCGUAGGUGGGUUGUUAAGUCAGUUGUGAAAGUUUCCGGCUCAACCGUAAAAUUGCAAUUGAUACUGGCAGGCGUGAGGAUAGUAGAGGUGGGUGGAAUUCGAGGUGUAGCGGUGAAAUGCUUAGAUAUCACGAAGAACACCGAUGGCGAAGGCAGCUUACUAGACUGAGACUGACACUGAGGCGCGAAAGCGUGGGUAUCAAACAGGAUUAGAUACCCGAGUAGUC
rnacentral:rRNA from 1 species